rnacentral:ncRNA from 1 species
GAACUAUAGAGUUUGAUCCUGGCUCAGAUUGAACGCUGGCGGCAUGCUUUACACAUGCAAGUCGAACGGUAACAGGUCUUCGGAUGCUGACGAGUGGCGAACGGGUGAGUAAUACAUCGGAACGUGCCUAGUAGUGGGGGAUAACUACUCGAAAGAGUAGCUAAUACCGCAUGAGAUCUACGGAUGAAAGCAGGGGACCUUCGGGCCUUGUGCUACUAGAGCGGCUGAUGGCAGAUUAGGUAGUUGGUGGGGUAAAGGCUUACCAAGCCUGCGAUCUGUA